GCCACGAGGUCUGGCCGGCCUGCGACACCAACGUCCCUGGAGAGGAAGAAUGGCGUGUUCACAGCCAUAGAAAACUAGAGACCACUGUCUUUGAAUCUAGCCUCUCCCCUUGCCUUUUGGAGGCGUCUCUGGGCGUGCGGGGAUGCCAGGGUCCCUGGUUGAAGCUUAUAAUGCUAGAAGUUUUAUACGGUAUUUAAUGUGAGUCAUGAUAGCAAGUUGUAAACACCCGACAAAUAUUAAAUACUGCGAAAAUAUGCACUAUAACAGUAUGUGAACCCUUUCAUAUUGCGUUGGAAAGCUCUCUGUGUACCCAGUCUGGUCCGGAACGUGGGAUCCUCCUGCAUCAGCCUCCGGAGGGAAGGAUUACAGGCAUGCACCACAACCUGCUUGAGGCUUUCUCUGAGGACUUGUGAUCCCAUCUAAGGGCAGGGAAAGAAAAGGAGUCCGCUCUCUACCAUCUGGAAGGGCAACUUUGGGAAACAUCUAGGAACUGCUUCCGCAAUUGUGGUUGAUUGAAAAACACUGAAUUCUAAAUUAAAAGAAGUUUAUUUCAGAGAAGAACAGAAUGAUUCCUAAAUAUCUUCCUUCAUCCCUCUCAGAAGGAUUCCAGCCAGCAGAAACUGCCGGAGACUGAAUUUUGCACAUGCUAGGUAAGUACUAUCCAUUGGGCUACAUCCCUAGUCCCAGAACACCAGGUUCCUAGCCCUAGAAAACCAGCUUACAUCCCUAGCUCCAGAACACCAGCUUACAUCCCUAGCUCCAGAAC